rnacentral:rRNA from 1 species
GAUGAACGCUGGCGGCGUGCCUAAUACAUGCAAGUCGAGCGAACGGACGAGAAGCUUGCUUCUCUGAUGUUAGCGGCGGAGGGGUGAGUAACACGUGAAUAACCUACCUAUAAGACUGGGAUAACUUCGGGAAACCGGAGCUAAUACCGGAUAAUAUUUUGAACCGAAGGGUUCAAAAGUGAAAGACGGUCUUGCUGUCACUUAUAGAUGGAUCCGCGCUGCAUUAGCUAGUUGGUAAGGUAACGGCUUACCAAGGCAACGAUGCAUAGCCGACCUGAGAGGGUGAUCGGCCACACUGGAACUGAGACACGGUCCAGACUCCUACGGGAGGCAGCAGUAGGGAAUCUUCCGCAAUGGGCGAAAGCCUGACGGAGCAACGCCGCGUGAGUGAUGAAGGUCUUCGGAUCGUAAAACUCUGUUAUUAGGGAAGAACAUAUGUGUAAGUAACUGUGCACAUCUUGACGGUACCUAAUCAGAAAGCCACGGCUAACUACGUG